GUGAACGCUGGCGGUAGGCCUGACACCUGCAAGUCGAACGGCAGCACAGUAAGAGCUUGCUCUUACGGGUGGCGAGUGGCGGACGGGUGAGGAAUACAUCGGAAUCUACUUUUUCGUGGGGGAUAACGUAGGGAAACUUACGCUAAUACCGCAUACGACCUACGGGUGAAAGCAGGGGAUCUUCGGACCUUGCGCGAUUGAAUGAGCCGAUGUCGGAUUAGCUAGUUGGCGGGGUAAAGGCCCACCAAGGCGACGAUCCGUAGCUGGUCUGAGAGGAUGAUCAGCCACACUGGAACUGAGACACGGUCCAGACUCCUACGGGAGGCAGCAGUGGGGAAUAUUGGACAAUGGGCGCAAGCCUGAUCCAGCCAUACCGCGUGGGUGAAGAAGGCCUUCGGGUUGUAAAGCCCUUUUGUUGGGAAAGAAAAGCAGCAGGUUAAUACCCCGCUGUUCUGACGGUACCCAAAGAAUAAGCACCGGCUAACUUCGUG
rnacentral:rRNA from 1 species